rnacentral:snRNA from 1 species
UUAUCUCUCUUCGCCUUAUUGGCUUUGAUCUUGUGUAGUAACUGUUCUAUAUCAUUUAACAAUGAUAUGCCUUCUUCGGAAGGCUCUUGUUAAACUAUUCUUUGUGACCUCGGUAGUGUCCCUUGCGCUUGCGCAACACACAACCAUGCAUGGUCUUGGCAUUUCACUCACCGCCUUGACCGUGUACCCCCA